rnacentral:rRNA from 1 species
CAGCAGCCACGGUAAUACGUAGGGCGCAAGCGUUGUCCGGAAUUAUUGGGCGUAAAGAGCUCGUAGGCGGUUUGUCGCGUCUGCUGUGAAAUCCUCAGGCUCAACCUGGGGCUUGCAGUGGGUACGGGCAGACUAGAGUGCGGUAGGGGUGACUGGAAUUCCUGGUGUAGCGGUGGAAUGCGCAGAUAUCAGGAGGAACACCGAUGGCGAAGGCAGGUCACUGGGCCGCAACUGACGCUGAGGAGCGAAAGCAUGGGGAGCGAACAGGAUUAGAUACCCCGGUAGUCCCUGUCUCUUAUAA